rnacentral:rRNA from 1 species
UACGUAGGGUGCGAGCGUUGUCCGGAAUUAUUGGGCGUAAAGAGCUUGUAGGUGGCUCGUUGCGUCGGGAGUGAAAACCUGCGGCUUAACCGCAGGCCUGCUUCCGAUACGGGCAGACUAGAGUUCGGUAGGGGAGUCUGGAAUUCCUGGUGUAGCGGUGAAAUGCGCAGAUAUCAGGAGGAACACCGGUGGCGAAGGCGGGACUCUGGGCCGAUACUGACGCUGAGGAGCGAAAGCGUGGGGAGCAAACAGG